GAUGAAGAACGUAGCGAACGUGCGAAACGUAAUGUGAAUUGCAGAAUUCAGUGAAUCAUCGAAUCUUUGAACGCAUCUUGCGCUCCUUGGUAUUCCGAGGAGCAUGCCUGUUUGAGUGUCGUGAAUACUCUCAACUUCAACCCUUUUUUCGGAAAGGAAGGAAGGUUUGACUUGGGUGUUUGUUGAAGUGCGAGCUUCGACUCAUCCUAAAUGCAUUAGCGAUCUGCCUCGAUCACACACAAUGUGAUAAUUAAAACUAAAGCAUUGUUUAAUGAUCAAGUCGAGACUGCUUCUAACUGUCGCAAGACAAUAACGUGCAUACAUUUGUGCAUGUCAUUUGACCUCAAAUCAGGUAGGACUACCCGCUGAACUUAAGCAUAUCAAUAAGCGGAGGA
rnacentral:misc_RNA from 1 species